GUAGUCAUAUGCUUGUCUCAAAGAUUAAGCCAUGCAUGUCUAAGUAUAAGCAAUUAUACAGCGAAACUGCGAAUGGCUCAUUAUAUAAGUUAUCGUUUAUUUGAUAGUGCCUGUCCUACUGGGAUAACCGUGGUAAUUCUAGAGCUAAUACCUGCUGAAAGUCCCGACUUCGGAAGGGAUGUAUUUAUUAGAUUCAAAGCCAAUGCCCUUCGAGGCUUCUUGGUGAUUCAUGAUAACUUCACGGAUCGCACGGCCCUGCGCCGGCGAUGGUUCAUUCAAAUUUCUUCCCUGUCAACUUUCGAUGUUUGGGUCUUGGCCAAACAUGGUUGCAACGGGUAACGGAGGGUUAGGGCUCGACCCCGGAGAAGGAGCCUGAGAAACGGCUACUACAUCCAAGGAAGGCAUCAGGCGCGCAAAUUACCCAAUCCCGAUUCGGGGAGGUAGUGACAAUAAAUACUGAUACAGGGCUCUUUAGGGUCCUGUAAUUGGAAUGAGUACAAUUUACAUCCCUUAACGAGGAACAAUUGGAGGGCAAGUCUGGUGCCAGCAGCC
rnacentral:rRNA from 1 species